GCAGAAAAACACCCUCCCGUUCCAGAUCCAUUAUGUGCUUCAUGAGGGGAUGGUAGCUGGUCUUCAGCAGACAGAGGAUGCUACAUUCUCAAUGCACUCAAUUUACUACCCACAUCUGAAAAUUUUUAUGACAGGUUGAACUUGUGCAAAAUGGGGCUUCCUGAUUGUUGCUGUACCAGAAUUAUCAUCAGUUUAAUGUUAUAAUACGACGCUUGGUGAAUAGAAGCACUCAGGAACCAGUAUCGUUAUUAUUAGAAAACGAGGAAUCUUAGGAGGGCCAAAUGUGCUCGUCUUACCCUUGAGCUCAACUUUUUCUACCGCUGUCUCCAGUUCAGUUUACUACAGAUGCUUACCCCUCGCCUUCAAUGCCCCUCUAAUGGAAGUGCCCCCAAACGUUCUCUAUUCCAAGGUGUCCACGUUUCCUUAGGCUUAAAAGUCACGGGCCAAGCUCCCUACCCUAUGGAUUCUCACCUCCCUUCAAUUUUCUAUCAAGAUAUGGUCCUCACGAGAGAUGGGACACUGACUGUCCUCCCUAAAGCUGCUGCGUAUGUUCAUUUGAAGUCCUUCUCCACUUAGGGAGUUUCUCCUAUUAUGUGUCUUCCCCAAGAUAGCCUGUUGGCUGCUUGAAGAUAGUGAUUAAUUGCCCAGUGUGUAUUUUCUUCUCCCAGUUGCAUAUUUCAUUUUUUAAGCUAUCCCUUAUCCUGUUCAAAAUUUCACAGUCCUAGUUGCAGUCCUCUGAGCUCUAGUUUGUAAAGGUCUCCCUUUAAGUGUUGGAUCUAUCCAUUUAUUAAAAUUUACUGAGGGGCA